CUGGCAACCGUACCAUGGCACUACGGUCAACGUUGCUUGUCAUCGUCGCGCUUUGCUUUUUCUUCUUCUUACGAAAAGGAACAAAAAAAAAACACAUUUAUUUUUUCACACAAAGCAAUUUAAUACAGAAAUUUUCAUUUGUUAUUAACAGAAUAGAAGAAAAAGUCGAGCAAUUAAAAUGCCGGAACGUAAUCGUGGAAGUGGAAGUGAUAGUGAUACACCCAAUACAGCAGCAAAUAUCAAAUACACCAUUUCACCUAGCAUUGAUUUAAUAGCAAAGGACACUUCCGACUUGUGUGGACUUUUGUACAGUGAAGUCGCAGUAUUUCUAAUAGACUGUAAUAUGGAUUCCGAUCCCGAUCAAUUACAUCUGUUAGAAAAAACAUCAACAGAGCUGAGUGAUAUUAUUUUGCCUUCAUUAAGAUUAUCAAAAGUUAAAUUAUCCAAAAAAAAAGGACGAAAUGGAAGAUCAACAUGGCGAUUGUUUGCGCAGUCCAAAUCAAUCCGUCAAGAGAAGAAAAUCGGUUUAUAAAUCACCGGUUUCUAAUAUGGAGCCAACCAUCCCAAAUAUAAUGCGAUCACUAACCAAAUUCGUUGUAUUGUUUGAAUCAAAAGCAGAAUAUAUAGCAACGCGAAGGUCAUUACAAAACCUAGAUAUAGAUAAACUGACUGAACUGGAAGACAUGGCAGAUCUUUUCAUCAGAAGUUCGGAAAAAACACAAGACAUGCUAAAACAAAUAAUUGCAAGGAUGAAGGCGGUUCUCCAUUCUAAUGCUGCCACUACUGCAACGCAUCAACAAUUACCUGCUUAAUUUCGUUCCACCACGCGGUGACCAAACGCCAUUGUCGUAAAUCUCAACAUUCAUCGCAAUACCAAAAUCGCCCAAUAAAUUUAUUUGCAAUUCCAUUUCAUUCCAUUUUUGUACGAAAAGAUCUUAUUCAAAAUCUCUUGGCUAUUUCAAAUCGCUUGAAACUUCACCAGAACCUAAAUUCUGGUCAUAAAUGAUGAUUACUCUUCAUUUCGGACCGAUAUGAUUGAGAAAAGAUGUUUUUAUAUUUUCACAAAAUCUAGUGUUCCAAGGGAUAAAUGAAUCGUUGCGGCGAAACAGUGGCUCUUAUUUUUCUCCAAAUAAUACUGCAACAUGAAGUUUUUUUCACACGGUUUAUUUGUUGUAAUACAACAAAUAAACCAUUCAUACUCUUUCACCGCAAUGAUUCAAAUAAGGGAUCCACCAUGGAAUCGAUAUAGCUCUUGCGCUACCUACUGGUGAGACGAAAACCAAAAAUUACACCGGUAUGUUGUUUCUGACGUCUUAUAGACGCAAAAAAACUAUUUGCCCAACAAAUUCCGAAAAAUGACCUAAAAAAACCACCCUACUUAAACAUUGACCUUAAUAAAUGAAUAAAAUUCCAAAGAUGGAAAAUAAUUGUUUUUUCAACAACAAGUUAGCUUUAGAAAUUCAGUUUGAAAUUGAUUUUUUUCAAAAGAGUGAGGUUAAUUUGACAUUUACCAUUCGUAUGACACUCCAGUUAGUAAAUAAAUACUUCAAAACAUUGUAUAUAGUGUGCAAUGAACACAGUGCAUAAUAAAUGCGUCAAAUAAAAAAAAAACCUUUUGUUGUGUAUUGUGUGCAUUACGUGAUUGAUGUUGAUUUUGUGGUGCUUAAGUAAUUUAUGAGUGAUGAAAAUAGGAUUUAUCUAUACUUUUACCAUAUUGAAGGCAAAAAUAGCAUAAUUUGUCGUGAAGCUUUAGCGCUACACCGUGGUUCGUUUAAUCAGUUUCUACAACAAUUAAUUUUAUUUUGUUUUGCGGUAUCAACGUAUAACGUUCAAUCUCACACAUUUUCACAAUGAAGAUGUUUGGUUUACGUUUGCCAUUUACUCAACGUCAAGCGACAAUGAUUGUUUAUCGGUCCAUUUAUUGCAUUGACUGGCACACAUUAAUCUAAACGGUUAACGUUUUGAAUUCCUGAUGUUAACUGGGUCUAAACAGAUGUUUAACUACUCUGCGUGCGAGACGAUCACAUUGGAUUUCCCAACAAAUGUUCAAAGUAAAUGAGCAUUUCAACAAAAUUUGAAUGAAUUGCAAACAUUCUGUAAUACACCACAUCCAACAUCAAAGCAGUUCGAUGCACUGGAAGAAACAGACAAAUUGCAAGCUUUUCGUGAUUUUUUGAAGAGAAUUCCAGAGAAAGAUUAUCUUGUCCAUUUAGUCUUUGCCAUCAUCAAGUUAUCGGCCACUUCAUUGAAAAACCAAGAGGCUUUGAGUGUGGUCACUGAAUUGUACAAAGAUUGCUAUGAAUAUGCUCAAAAAACAAGCCAGGUGGCUCGUGUAAAUAAUUUUUUCCUAAUGCAAUUGGGUUUGUUGAAGAACGAAGACAAAUCAUUUAAGCCAGCCUAUGACCAGAACGCUUGCCGAAAUGCAUUGCAACAUUCAAUCAAAUCGAAAGUGUUCAACGAUGACGUGGGAGAAAUGUUCAGCCUAUUUUUGCAACAUUUUAAUUAAAACAAAGCAUACACAUUAAUUUAUAAAUUUUAUUUCAUAAUUUUCCAAUGAAUAAACUCGAAC